ACGUUGUUGAAAUACCAGUUCCCGUACGAUCACUGAAGUUAAGCAAUUUCGAACUUAGUCUGGACCGAGACGGGUGACCGCUUCGGAAUACCAGGUGCUGUAA